AUUAAUAGUAAUCUUUAAGGUCAUUUCAUAAAAAUGGAGUGUUAAUAGGGAAGUUGGUGAAAGUCCAACACGGUCCCGCCACUGUAAACGUUAGAAUACUUUCAAGAUAUUCCACUGUCUUUUUAGAUGGGAAGGAAAAAGUAUUUGCAAUGCGUAAGUCAGGAGACCUGCCUUAAAGAACAUGUUGUU
rnacentral:ncRNA from 2 species